rnacentral:lncRNA from 1 species
AAAUAUAACCUGGCCGAUAUAAAAACACCAAAUAUGAUCUGACAUAUCUCGAAAAUCUCCUCUCUCCUCUCUCUGCUCCCUCCUCUUCUCCCUUUUCCUUCGGUUUCUUUUAUGGCAGUUUCUCCUAGGGUCAGGGUUUCAGAUCCGUCAUGGGAAAUUCCGGUCCCAAAAUACAAACGGGCUCUAGUCGAAUUACGCCAGCGAAAAAACAACGCCUUCCACCUCUCUAUUCUAAAGCCAACCAAACGGUAUUCAUUCAGCUCAUUGUUACUUUUUUUUUAUUAUUAUGUUUCUGUUUUAUUUUAAGGAACAGAUUGAUUGGUUAUCUGGCAAGGCAAUGAGGUAUUCUAUGUAAAAAGCUUUGCAAAAAGGGUUAAUGGUGCAUCUAGUGCCCCUGUUCUCUGAUUUUUCUUGUUUUGGCCCCUUUAGAUAAUUGUUUUGCACAGAAUGCUUUUUACUGCAGCCAUGACUUCUCAUGUUCUUUACUUAUGAUCGUAUGGUAAGAAAGAAAUACUAGCCUCACCGUGUUCCUUUUAUUGAAAUGCGUUGGAAAUUAAGAAUAUGAUAUGGUCACGAUUUCUUCAGUGUUAUUGUUUUUCUAUGAUCUUCAUCCUUGUAUUCCUAUAAAAAGAAAGGUAAUGCACUGAGGCUAAGAUGAUAUUUUUUAUGGAAAUUUCAUACAUAUUGUUUUAAGGAACAAAGUGAUUGGUUAUUUGGCAAGGCAAUGCGGUGUUCUGUGCAAAAAGAAUUAAUGGCAUUAUAUAGUCCUUCUGUUUUCUGAUUUUUCCUGUUCUGGUCCCUUUAAAUAAUUGUUUUGCACAGAAUGCCUUUUACUGCAGCCAUGACUUCUCAUGUUUUUUACUUAUGAUCAUAUGGUCAAAGGGGAAUCCUAGCCUCACCGUGUUCCUUUUAUUGAAAUGCGUUGGAAAUUAAGAAUAUGGUCACUAUUUCUUUAAUGUUAUUGUUUUUUCAUGAUCUUCAUCCUUGUUUUCCUAUAAAAAGAAAGGUAAUGCACUGAGGUUAAGAUGAUUUUUUUUACGGAAAGUUCAUACAUAUUGUUUUAAGGAACAAAUUGAUUGGUUAUUUGGCAAGGCAAUGAGGUGUUCUGUGCAAAAAGAAUUGAUGGCGUAUUAAGUCCCUCUGUUUUCUGAUUUUUCCUGUUCUGGUCCCUUUAAAUAAUUGUUUUGCACAGAAUGCCUUUUACUGCAGCCAUGACUUCUCAUGUUCUUUACUUAUGAUCAUAUGGUCAAAGGGGAAUCCUAGCCUCACCGUGUUCCUUUUAUUGAAAGGCGUUGGAAAUUAAGAAUAUGGUCACUAUUUCUUUAGUGUUAUUGUUUUUUCAUGAUCUUCAUCCUUGUUUUCCUAUAAAAAGAAAGGUAAUGCACUGAGGCUAAGAUGAUAUUUUUUACGGAAAGUUUCAUACAUGUUGUUUUAAGGAACAAAUUGAUUGGUUAUUUGGCAAGGCAAUGAGGUGUUCUGUGCAAAAAGAAUUGAUGGUGUAUAAAGUCCCUCUGUGUUCUGAUUUUUCCUGUUCUGGUCCCUUUAAAUAAUUGUUUUGCACAGAAUGCCUUUUACUGAAGCCAUGACUACUCAUGUUCUUUACUUAUGAUCAUAUGGUCAAAAGGGAAUCCUAGCCUCACCGUGUUCCUUUUAUUGAAAUGCGUUGGAAAUUAUGAAUAUGGUCACUAUUUCUUUAGUGUUCUUGUUUUUUCAUGAUCUUCAUCCUUCUUUUCCUAUAAAAAGAAAGGUAAUGCACUGAGGUUAAGAUGAUUUUUUUACGGAAAGUUUCAUACAUAUUGUUUUAAGGGACAAAUUGAUUGGUUAUUUGGCAAGGCAAUGAGGUGUUCUGUGCAAAAAGAAUUGAUGGCAUAUAAAGUCCCUCUGUUUUCUGAUUUUUCCUGUUCUGGUCCCUUUAAAUAAUUGUUUUGCACAGAAUGCCUUUUACUGCAGCCAUGACUUCUCAUGUUCUUUACUUAUGAUCAUAUGGUCAAAGGGGAAUCCUAGCCUCACCGUGUUCCUUUUAUUGAAACGCGUUGGAAAUUAAGAAUAUGGUCACUAUUUCUUUAAUGUUAUUGUUUUUUCAUGAUCUUCAUCCUUGUUUUCCUAUAAAAAGAAAGGUAAUGCACUGAGGCUAAGAUGAUUUUUUUACGGAAAGUUUCAUACAUGUUGUUUUAAGGAACAAAUUGAUUGGUUAUUUGGCAAGGCAAUGAGGUGUUCUGUGCAAAAAGAAUUGAUGGUGUAUAAAGUCCCUCUGUGUUCUGAUUUUUCCUGUUCUGGUCCCUUUAAAUAAUUGUUUUGCACAGAAUGCCUUUUACUGAAGCCAUGACUACUCAUGUUUUUUACUUAUGAUCAUAUGGUCAAAAGGGAAUCCUAGCCUCACCGUGUUCCUUUUAUUGAAAUGCGUUGGAAAUUAUGAAUAUGGUCACUAUUUCUUUAGUGUUCUUGUUUUUUCAUGAUCUUCAUCCUUCUUUUCCUAUAAAAAGAAAGGUAAUGCACUGAGGUUAAGAUGAUUUGUUUUACGGAAAGUUUCAUACAUAUUGUUUUAAGGGACAAAUUGAUUGGUUAUUUGGCAAGGCAAUGAGGUGUUCUGUGCAAAAAGAAUUGAUGGCAUAUAAAGUCCCUCUGUUUUCUGAUUUUUCCUGUUCUGGUCCCUUUAAAUAAUUGUUUUGCACAGAAUGCCUUUUACUGCAGCCAUGACUUCUCUUCUUUACUUAUGAUCAUAUGGUCAAGGGGAUCCUAGCCUCACCGUGUUCCUUUUAUUGAAACGCGUUGGAAAUUAAGAAUAUGGUCACUAUUUCUUUAAUGUUAUUGUUUUUUCAUGAUCUUCAUCCUUGUUUUCCUAUAAAAAGAAAGGUAAUGCACUGAGGCUAAGAUGAUAUUUUUUACGGAAAGUUUCAUACAUGUUGUUUUAAGGAACAAAUUGAUUGGUUAUUUGGCAAGGCAAUGAGGUGUUCUGUGCAAAAAGAAUUGAUGGUGUAUAAAGUCCCUCUGUGUUCUGAUUUUUCCUGUUCUUGUCCCUUUAAAUAAUUGUUUUGCACAGAAUGCCUUUUAUUGCAGCCAUGAUUUCUCAUAUUUUUUACUUAUGAUCAUAUGGUCAAAAGGGAAUCCUAGCCUCACCGUGUUCCUUUUAUUGAAAUGCGUUGGAAAUUAAGAAUAUGGUCACAAUUUCUUUAGUGUUAUUGUUUUUUCAUGAUCUUCAUCCUUGGUUUCCUAUAAAAAGAAAGGUAAUGCACUGAGGCUAUGAUGAUAUUUUUUACGGAAAGUUCAUACAUAUUGUUUUAAGGAACAAAUUGAUUGGUUAUUUGGCAAGGCAAUGAGGUGUUCUGUGCAAAAAGAAUUGAUGGCGUAUUAGUCCCUCUGUUUUCUGAUUUUUCCUGUUCUGGUCCCUUUAGAUAAUUGUUUUGCACAGAAUGCCUUUUACUGCAGCCAUGACUUCUCAUGUUCUUUACUUGUGAUCAUAUGGUCAAAGGGGAAUCCUAGCCUCACCGUGUUCCUUUUAUUGAAAUGCGUUGGAAAUUAAGAAUAUGAUAUGGUCACGAUUUCUUCAGUGUUAUUGUUUUUCUAUGAUCUUCAUCCUUGUAUUCCUAUAAAAAGAAAGGUAAUGCACUGAGGCUUAGAUGAUAUUUUUUAUGGAAAAUUUCAUACAUAUUGUUUUAAGGAACAAAUUGAUUGGUUAUUUGGCAAGGCAAUGAGGUGUUCUGUGCAAAAAGAAUUGAUGGCAUAUAUAGUCCCUCUGUUUUCUGAUUUUUCCUGUUUUGGUCCCUUUAAAUAAUUGUUUUGC